rnacentral:rRNA from 1 species
UACGGAGGGUGCAAGCGUUGUUCGGAUUUACUGGGCGUAAAGGGCGCGUAGGCGGCUUGGUAAGUCGGGUGUGAAAUCCUUCCGCUUAACGGAAGAAGUGCACCCGAAACUGCCUUGCUCGAGUUUAGGAGAGGAGAGCGGAAUUCCCGGUGUAGCGGUGAAAUGCGUAGAUAUCGGGAAGAACGCCGGUGGUGAAGACGGUCUCCUGGGCUACACCUGACGCUGAGGCGCGAAAGCUAGGGGAGCGAACGGG